AGCUUUCUAAAGGAUAACAGUCCAUCCAUUGGUCUUAGGAACCAAAAACUCUUGGUGCAAAUCCAAGUAGAAGC
rnacentral:tRNA from 1 species